CCUACGUGAGGCAGCAGUGGGGAAUAUUGGGCAAUGGGCGCAAGCCUGACCCAGCAACGCCGCGUGAAGGCAGAAGGCUUUCGGGUUGUAAACUUCUUUUAAGAGGGAAGAGAAGAAGACGGUACCUCUUGAAUAAGCCACGGCUAACUAAGUGCCAGCAGCCGCGGUAAUACGUAGGUGGCACGCGUUGGCCGGAUUUACUGGGUGUAAAGGGCGUGCAGCCGGGCUGACAAGUCAGAUGGGAAAUCCCGCGGCUCAACCGAGGAACUGCAUUUGAAACUGUCAGUCUUGAGUACCGGAGAGGUCAUCGGAAUUCCUUGUGUAGCGGUGAAAUGCGUAGAUAUAAGGAAGAACACCAGUGGCGAAGGCGGAUGACUGGACGGCAACUGACGGUGAGGCGCGAAAGCGUGGGGAGCAAACAGGAUUAGAUACCCGAGUAGUC
rnacentral:rRNA from 1 species